CCUGCUUUCCCGCCCUGGCGUGUCUUCGAUCCCCUCCGGUCUCCGUUUAAAACACUUGAGCACACGUGGGCUGGGUGCCGAACUCAAGGGUUCCGGACCGGGAGCUGUGGGCGCGCUAGGCUGUUGCCAGGAGCACAGCACUGUAAGUAAGCUUCAAGAGGGCAGGAGCCAUGUGGCCAUCCCUCCAGAAUGCUCCCUUGCCAAAUAGACAGUUGGUUGUAACCUGGCCAAGCUCCUGCUAUGUCCGAAGAAUAAGGCAGACUGGAGGGAAAAAUGACCAUAAGAUCUAUAUAAUCAAGUCUAUCAGCAAGACAUAUGGGCUGCUCUCCAAGUUCUCCCAGCAUUCAUGCAUCCAGCCGGGAUAUAGCAACAGCUUCAUUCCCACCAAAACAGCAACAGAAGACACCAAACUCUGUUCCUUCAAUAGGGGAAGUUUGGAAAUUCACAGACUUACUGCCUAUUUUAGCCUCCAAUUUAUCAUUUCCAAAUCAAAGAGAGCUUCAAUUGUAUGCACCACCAAGAAAGGACAAAGAGUUGCCAAUUUAACUACACAACAUGUUAUCAUUUAGGAUUUUCGUGUUUUUGCUUAUUAAAGACUACUUUUAGACUUGCACAUAGAUUUUUUUUAUACUAAUAUGCAUAUAUAAAAAAGAAACAUAAGCAAAUUAAAUUGAGUAAAGUAUUUCUAAAAAUUUUGUACACUAAAUAUAAUUCUGAAUCCCUUUUCAUACAGAACAUCAAUAUGUGUUUUUGCACACAAUACUAAUGACAGGGCAGCAUUUCUUAAAAGAAUUUCCUAGUCUUGUCUCUGGAAUUUGCUUCCUAGCCACUAACACUCAUUCUGCAAGUUUGAUGCUGGGGCCAUCCUGUUUGAUGCCAUUACAAGCUCUGCAAUUUUUUUGUUUUAUGUUUAUUCAUUUCCUUUGAGAAAGAGAGAGCAAGCAGAAGCGGGGGAGAGAGAGAGGAAGAGGGAGAAUCCCAAGCAGGUUCUGUGCUGUCAUUGGGGCUCGAUGUCAGGAAUCGGAAGAUCAUGACCAGAGCCAAGAUCAAGAGUUGGACGCUUAACCGACUGAGCCCCCCCAGUGCCCCUCUACAGCUUCUCUUUUAAUGGCCACAAGAAAGUUUCUGACAAAUUAAAUUCCAUGCCUUAAUGAUAGUCGUAUAUAAUACAUGAAUUGCUUUUACCAGCCUCUUGUUGCUUUGGAAUUUCUUUCACCUAAUUUGGCAAUUUCUCUCGCCUUCAAUAGCAUCUGUUAUCAUAUGACUUUGACACGUGUAGUACUAAAUUGCAGAGACCUCGGUGAAAUGAUGACAAUUCGAGCAGUUGUGACCAUGUUCACAAAUAAAGAGGCAAUGCCAACUAUUAUAUCAUGACUGCCAUCUGGCCAUUGCUUAUUUCUGAAGUAAGACAUGUACCAGUUCCAGAGACAUUAAAAUGUGGGGCCAAAGUGCUUCUUAGAAUUGGAAAAAGAUAUACAUUGAGCUAAUGAGGAAUGAUAGGUUCCAGUGGUAUAUAUAUUAUUUUUCCAUUUUUAAAAAUUAAUUUGUCCAGUUCUAUUGAGUUAUAUUUGACAUAACAUUGUACUAGUUUAAGGUAUACAGCAUAAUGGUUGAUACAUGUAUAUAUUUCAAAAUGUUUACAAGUGAGUUCUCAUGCAUUACCUCACAGUUAUAACUUUUGUGUGUGCCGAGAAGUUUUUCAAUUUGCUGCUAGCAACUUCCAAAUAUAUAAUAAUUAACUGCAAUCAUCAUGGUGUCCUUUAUGCCCCCAGAAUUUACUUAUAAGUACAAGUUUGCACGUCUUGACCACCUUCACUCCUUACCCCCGAUGAUAUUAAAAUAUUCGAUGGUACAAGAUACCAGAGGCUGAGAUACCAAUUAUUGUUAUAUGUACGAAAUCAAUUUGCAUUGAUCACUAGUUAUAUGCCUGGUAUAAUAAUUGUGCUAAUUUAAGUGUCCUUUGUUAGCUAACUAUAUCUAAAACAUUAAAAAAUAGCAGGAGAUACCCAACCUGAAUUAGAUGCAUGGGAAGCUCCCUGUUCCCUGAAUACCUUUGUAAAGACGCAUAGAUAGAACUAGGCCGGAAGAAUAGGUACACUAUUGCGAGGUGGAGAACAAAAGAAGGGUAUCCCAGAAACAUGUCCCAGCAUGAGCAAAAACAUGAAAGGAUGGCUGGAAAACAAAUAUUAAGUGCCAACUGUGUGUCACACAUUGUCAUUAUUAUGUAGAAUUCAAUCUCUCUCAUUAAUCCUGUCUCUACUUAAGUAUGAAGUGCUGAGGGUCACAAUGCUCUUCUCAUACUAUUGGGGAAGUGGUUGAGUAAGAAUCCCAACUUGAGGGGGUGCCUGGGUGGCUCAGUUGUUUAAGCGAUUGACUUUGGCUCAGGUCGUGAUCUCAUGGUUUGUGGGUUCGAACCCCUCCUCAGGCUCUGUGCUGACAGUGUGGAGUC